rnacentral:pre_miRNA from 1 species
UCUUAUGGAUGAGCAAAUAAAGUGGUUUCUUGUGAUGGAGUCUGCUCCUGCUGAAGAUUCUGUGAA